ACAUCACAGAGAUGCAUAAGUUCCCUACGUCGGAUGCCCAGGUUAGAUUCUGGCAGGUGCCUCUCAUCAGUGCAUCACCACUGAGGACAUUAUCCUUUCAAAGAUUUCCUUUCCAUUGUUUGCCUUUUGCCAUGCCACGCUGAAGAGCCUGUUCUUCAGCACCUGACCCAAGUGAACAAGCACACGGAAAAGAGCUCAGUUGUUCUAAUUCACAUCAGAGAUGCAAGAAGUUACGAACAACGAUGCAGGAUAUGGUACCAGCUCUCAAGAGCUUGCUGUCUGAUUUAAGACCAGACAACAUAAGUGAAAUGGAAGAACACAAAGUGGACAAGAGUAACAGCCAUCAGAUAAUGCCGUGUGCAGUCUGAGAUCUAAACCGGAUGGCUCUGAAUCAUCUGAAAGUACUAUUAAAAUUUAAUUCCUUAAAAGCUGUA